GCCUCUUGGCGAUAAGGUCGGAGAUAGGCCGAAGGCCCAUCUUGGAGAAUCCUACUCCUGUUAGAAUUAGUCUUGAGUAUGACUACCUCAGACUCCUAAUCCAAAUAGAUCACGGAUUCAACGAUAUCUCCACUACGAGAGAUAGCAUCUACCACGACUCUUAUGGAGAAGUUAUCUGGGGGAGCCAUGACUAACCCCUCGAGGUGCAGGGACACGUCCUCACCUCUCGGUGAGGUCUUCAUCUUCAAACAAGGUAGACAAGGAGCCAAAUUACACGAUCGUCUCAAUCCCCCGAUGAGGGCUAACUCACCAGAAUACAGGAUCCAGACAUAUGAUCGGCCUUCGUGUUACCCCGGAGGGCCUUCAAGAGCCAUGAUCACCUCAAGCCCCCACACGAGGGUUAACUCGGCAGAUAGCAGGAUUGAGGAUUGUAGAUCAUGCCCGGAUGAGCCCGGGAACUAUCAGAUGAGCCUGAUAACUACCAAAUGAGCUUGGUAACUAGUCUUCAUAUCCCUCGGAAGGGUCGUCACGGAGACUCACUCAUCCUCUUUCUUUCAUCAUGUAUUUCAUAACUAUGCCUCUUCUGAGUCAAAGGACGCGCCCUGAUAGGGAGGACGUGUCCUUCCCAAUUCCCGUCUUCAUCCCUGUUUACUGGACAAGAGACCGCACCUCCCGGGCCAUGUCUGGGGAGGGCGCGUCCUUCCCUUAUCUUGUCUUCAAUCCUCCUUACUGGACAAGAGACCGCACCUCCCGGGCCAUGUCUGGGGAGGGCGCGUCCUCCCCUCCACAUGAUAUACAAAAACGGCUACAACACCUCGGAAGAGUCGUCGUAUCCCCCGGAGGGGUCGUCAUAUCCCCCCCGGAGGGGUAGGUCUUCCUAUCCCCGGAGGGACGGUCUUCGUCUCCCUCGGAAGGGUUGUCUCAGCGAAUGUACACUCUCCCAUAAGAAGAGCCUUCUUACAACACAUCAGACAGGUCCUUCUUUAACAUGAGGUCGCGCCCCCGGGGAGGCGAGGACACCCCGUUAAAGGCACGCCCUUGGUCUUCAUCUCAUUGUCAACUUCUUACAAGGGACGCGCCCCUCGGUCACCUCCGAAGAGGGCGUGCCCUCCUCCACAUAUUACAGGACGUGGGUGGACGGAGGUCGGUCGCGUCUCUCCAUCAACACUCUCAAGUAAGGCGUCCCUCCUUGUGACUCGGAGGACGCGUCCUUUUCAAGCAACACCAAGGGUCGGUCGCAUCCUCCCUUUAUAAGCAGGAGGACGCCUCCUCUUCACGCAACACCAAGGGUCGAUCGCAUCCUCCCCUUAUAAGCAGGAGGACGCGUCCUCUUCAUGGGACACGUGUGACCUGGAGGACACAUCCCUCCUUCCGACGCGGAGGACGCGUCCUCUUCAUUAAGAUACGCAACAUCGGCGGAUCAGUCGCGUCACGGAGGGCUGCGCCCUUCCGUUCAGACUAGUCUCUUCAAGGGUCGGUCGCGUCCUCACUUUAUAAGCAGGAGGACGCGUCCUUCCUUUAUAUAGGACUCUUAGCCCAAUUCAUGUCUUACUUAGUUAAACUAAGUACAUACUUGGCCCAACAAGGACCUAGCCAAAUUUGGCUAUAACAAGUACUCCCCAAAUUUUCUUGAUAUUGGAGAUAUCAGGGAAAUUUUUACUCCAUACCACACAUCCUCUUCCGAGAGCGCGUCCGCGCAUAGAGGCGUGACGUAAGCCACUUCUAUUCCUCGACAUUCCAAGAUGCAGGCUGUGCACAAGCCUUGCAUGUAUAUAAUGUCGGUGUCUUUGAUCAUUUAGCAAAGUUGCUAAGCAUGAGGCUGUCGCGUCUUCUUGAUGUGUUCAUAAAUAAUAAGCAAUCUUUAUGUAGACAAAAGAAAACAGGGGGCGCGGCCUAUCUGUCGUUGACAGUGGCGCAGCUUCGCUUAUUCCUUCCAAAGGACACAUUCAACCAUAACAUUCGCGCCAAUGAACUUCAACAAAAGAAGGGCGCGCCCUCGCUGUGCGAAGGUUUUGGGGUUUUUUUUUUUUUAGCCUUAGUGUGUCCAUGGUACCUGGGAAUAGUAAAUAUAAGGCGCGACUUACAGAGUGGCGCUGCCUUGUUAUAACAUGACCCCUUUUAAUUCUUUUUGUUAAAGAAUUGCCUAAGCAGAGGGCGCGGCUGAUGGCGCUGCCUUGCAAUAUUUCUUUUCUUUCAAGGACUGUAUAAGCAGAGGGCGCAGCCUUACUUGUAAUGUGGGCUCUUUUGAUCUUUUCCAAGGAUUAAGUAGAGGGCGCGGCCUUUGGCGCAGCUUUACUUUUUCACGCGUGAAUCACUUGCUUAAGAAAAUCAAGAGGACCACUCCCCAGUCCAUACAUCUUCCCAUAUGGGGCAUCACGAAUCUUAUCGUGGUUUACAUAACUCCGGUGCAUCGCACAGGUCCCAGAGCUCAUAGCUCAAUGGGGAAUGAAUAGUAUAAAAUGUUAUCCAGAGCAUAUCAUGGAUAUGUAAGAUCCAGAGCGUAUCAUGGAUGCGCAAGUAUAAUGUCCAGAGCGUAUCAUGGAUGCGCAAAUAUAGUAUCCGGAGCGUAUCAUGGAUAUGUAAAUAAUCAUAGCAUCCAGAGUAGAUCGUGGAUGACAUCCAGAGCGUAUCAUGGAUGGUUAAAAUUCAUAGUACCCAGAGCUGGUCAUGGAUAAUUUGGUAACCUUUGAAAGGCCUUAAGUGUACCUUGAUCAAAGACCUUGCAGGUAUCAUGCUACGUUCCUGUAGAACGGAGGGCGCGCCCUCAUCAAGAUGGACAGCUCCUUUAGCAUGUUGGACUUGACCUGCACUUUAUCAUGUAUACGACUUAAUACUGAUGGUCAGUGUUACCUCACGACGCGCCCUGUUAGGGGAAGACGCGUCCUCCCAAAUUAUCAACCCUGGAAACAUGACCUUGGAACUCGGGGUGCGUCCAACUAGGAGGAGGCGCGUCUUUGAAGCAUCUCCCUUCUCAACAUUAUUAUCCUGGGGGCGCGCCCUCAUGUGCUUCCUCAAGUGAUGAGUACUUCCGAGAGGACGCGCCCUAGGGAGGGACGUGACCUCUUCAAGACUAGUGAGCUCCUUCCUGAGUAUGUUUGUCUUCACAAAGUAUCAUAUGAAGCAAUUAAUGCAUCAGACAUACCAGAGGGCGCGCCCUGUCAGAGGGAGGCGCGCAAUUCGUUCUCUGAUAGAAUACUGGUUGGAUAUGGCGUACCCCUUUAGGAGGGCGCGCCUUGUUGGAGGAAAGUGCGACUACUCCUCACGGCGAAGAGGUGUAUUCCUCAUAAAGGUAACACCAUAUUACCUGUGAAUUUACACAUGUAGUAGUCUUAGGGAACCAAAUACUGGGGGAGUUUAGUAUUUACCUGAGGGCGCGCCCGGUCAGGGGAAGGCGCGCACCCUUACGACUUUUCGAGCUAGGUUCCAUCUCAAUAGCUCGCCCUUCGUAACCUUCCCGUUCAUAUCAUCACACGUGGUCAGGCCUUCAACAUGCGCCUCUCGCGAACCUCAAAUUACUUGCUCUGGGGAGGGCGCGCCCCUUCAGAAAACCGUUGAGGCUUCCAGGGAGGCGAUCUCCUUCUCGUAAAGACUCAAACCACAACAGACUUGUUAGCAAUAACAUGCGAAAGCAUUGUGAGAAUCUUACCCGGAGGUGCGCCUUCUUCGGAGGUGUUAGGGAAUUCGUUCCUCACGGUGGUAGUCGAGCACCACAUCACUUGGAGGCGUACCCUGUCAGGGGGAGGUGUACCCUGUCCAGGGGAGGUGUACUCUAUCCGGGGGAGGUGUACCCUGUCCAGGGGAGGUGUACUCUAUCCGGGGGAGGUGUACUCUGUCCGGGGGAGGUGUACUCUCUCCGGGGGAGGCGUACCCUCUUCGUAGGUGUCAGGUCUCCGAAAAUCACAUCCUUCGCUGACUCCCCGGUCCAGAAAACCCUGAUCGCAAAUUAGGUUACCUCCUAGAAUUUCGUUGAUGAUCGUCCUCCUUCAAACUCCCGAUGGAGAUAUCGUCCUUUUUCUGAAAAAGUAGAUGAAGGUCUCCUCCUCUUUUGUGCUCUAGCCAUCGCCCUGCCGGAAAACGCUCCUCCUCUACGUGCGAAUCUCCGUCGUGUGACAUCUCUUCCUCCUAAGAUGAAGAUCUUGAAUAGCCCCUCCUUCUAGCGCCAAUUUGUUGAUAGAGGAAUUUGGUAAUCAACAAAGAUGAGGUUCAUGGCCGGAAUCAAGAUCCGUGACGGUGGUUUUGGUCGCCGGAGAGUGGUGGUUGUUUGUUUUAGGGGGUGGCUGAGAUUAGGGUUUUGAGUUGGUCUCACGUGCUCUCAACUCAUGAUCCCCCAAUGUGCCUACGUACCCCUAUAUUUAUAGGGGAUCAAGCCAUACGUAGUUCUAUUGAACCAGGAGUCCUAGUUUGAUCAGGACUAGGCCUCUUGGCGAUAAGGUCGGAGAUAGGCCGAAGGCCCAUCUUGGAGAAUCCUACUCCUGUUAGAAUUAGUCUUGAGUAUGACUACCUCAGACUCCUAAUCCAAAUAGAUCACGGAUUCAACGAUAUCUCCACUACGAGAGAUAGCAUCUACCACGACUCUUAUGGAGAAGUUAUCUGGGGGAGCCAUGACUAACCCCUCGAGGUGCAGGGACACGUCCUCACCUCUCGGUGAGGUCUUCAUCUUCAAACAAGGUAGACAAGGAGCCGAAUUACACGAUCGUCUCAAUCCCCCGAUGAGGGCUAACUCACCAGAAUACAGGAUCCAGACAUAUGAUCGGCCUUCGUGUUACCCCGGAGGGCCUUCAAGAGCCAUGAUCACCUCAAGCCCCCACACGAGGGUUAACUCGGCAGAUAGCAGGAUUGAGGAUUGUAGAUCAUGCCCGGAUGAGCCCGGGAACUAUCAGAUGAGCCUGAUAACUACCAAAUGAGCUUGGUAACUACCAAAUGAGCUUGGUAACUAGUCUUCAUAUCCCUCGGAAGGGUCGUCACGGAGACUCACUCAUCCUCUCUCUCUCAUCAUGUAUUUCAUAACUAUGCCUCUUCUGAGUCAAAGGACGCGCCCUGAUAGGGAGGACGUGUCCUUCCCAAUUCCCGUCUUCAUCCCUGUUUACUGGACAAGAGACCGCACCUCCCGGGCCAUGUCUGGGGAGGGCGCGUCCUUCCCUUAUCUUGUCUUCAAUCCUCCUUACUGGACAAGAGACCGCACCUCCCGGGCCAUGUCUAGGGAGGGCGCGUCCUCCCCUCCACAUGAUAUACAAAAACGGCUACAACACCUCGGAAGAGUCGUCGUAUCCCCCGGAGGGGUCGUCAUAUCCCCCCCGGAGGGGUAGGUCUUCCUAUCCCCGGAGGGACGGUCUUCGUCUCCCUCGGAAGGGUUGUCUCAGCGAAUGUACACUCUCCCAUAAGAAGAGCCUUCUUACAACACAUCAGACAGGUCCUUCUUUAACAUGAGGUCGCGCCCCCAGGGAGGCGAGGACACCCCGUUAAAGGCACGCCCUUGGUCUUCAUCUCAUUGUCAACUUCUUGCAAGGGACGCGCCCCUCGGUCACCUCCGAAGAGGGCGCGCCCUCCUCCAACACCAUGACCAAUUUUGGUCAUAACAGGGUGGACGGAGGGUCGGUCGCGUCCUUCCAUCAACGUCCUCAAGAGUCGCGUCUCUCCUUCCA
rnacentral:lncRNA from 1 species